CCCGCUGAACUUAAGCAUAUCAAUAAGCGGAGGAAAAGAAACUAACAAGGAUUCCCCUAGUAACUGCGAGUGAAGCGGGAAAAGCUCAAAUUUAAAAUCUGGCGGUCUUGCGGCCGUCCGAGUUGUAAUCUGGAGAAGCGUUUAUCCGCGUCGGACCGUGUACAAGUCUUCUGGAAGGGAGCGUCCUAAAGGGGGAGAAUCCCGUCUUUGACACGGACGACCGGGGCUUUUGUGAUGGGCUCUCGAAGAGUCGAGUUGUUUGGGAAUGCAGCUCAAAAUGGGUGGUAAAUUCCAUCUAAAGCUAAAUAUUGGCGAGAGACCGAUAGCGAACAAGUACCGUGAGGGAAAGAUGAAAAGCACUUUGGAAAGAGAGUUAAACAGUACGUGAAAUUGUUGAAAGGGAAACGUUUGAAGUCAGUCCCGUCAGCCGAAACUCAACCUUGCUUCUGCUCGGGGCCUUUCUCGGCUGACGGGUCAGCAUCAAUUUUGACCGCCGGAUAAAGGUCGGGGGAAUGUGGCAUCCUUCGGGAUGCGUUAUAGACCUCGAUUCGUAUACGGCGAUUGAGAUUGAGGAACUCGGCGCUUUGCGGCCAGGAUGCUGGCAUAAUGGCUUUUAGCGACCCGUCUUGAAACACGG
rnacentral:rRNA from 1 species